GUUGCUCAAUGGUAGAGCAUCUUCCUUGCAUGCAAAAGGGCCCAGAUUCAAUCCCUGGCAUCUCCA
rnacentral:tRNA from 1 species